GUUAGCUGUAAUGAAAAAGAUGAUUAGCUCUGAAACAGUUUUGGUGAAUACCAGUUUCAUCAACUUCUCUAUCCAAAGAUUGAUCUUGAGAAGGGAAUGAUGGACUGUUUGUACGCAAAAAUGCACUCACUUGUAUCACGGAUUGUGUCAUGGCUGAGCUAGAGAAGUUAAAUCAGAAGUAUCUUGUAGCUCUAAGGAUUGUGAAGGUUCUCCCCGAUUUGAAAUACUAACUUGGUGUACACAAAGGGACACCUGCUGAUGACUGUCUUGUGGACAGAUUUACUCUGCACAAGUGCUUCACAGUGGCUUACUUGUGACAGAGAUCUAAAGCGAAGGUUUCUCAAGAAUGUUAACUUCACUAUGUGUUAAAGCUAGUACUCAUGUAUGUGACGCAACGCAAGUACUCAAUAGAGAAGUUGCCUGAAGCAACAAUCAUGUAUGUGGAGCUCCAAGAUACUGAUAAAGGAACAGAGACCCCUAAUGAUUCAAGAAGAUUUUUGGGAAGCCUUAGUUAGUGUUGGUUUAAGCUCUUGCGCUGUUGUAUUAUGCGAUAUUGAGCCAUUU